GAUGAACGCUGGCGGCGUGCCUAAUACAUGCAAGUCGAGCGAACGGACGAGAAGCUUGCUUCUCUGAUGUUAGCGGCGGACGGGUGAGUAACACGUGGAUAACCUACCUAUAAGACUGGGAUAACUUCGGGAAACCGGAGCUAAUACCGGAUAAUAUUUUGAACCGCAUGGUUCAAAAGUGAAAGACGGUCUUGCUGUCACUUAUAGAUGGAUCCGCGCUGCAUUAGCUAGUUGGUAAGGUAACGGCUUACCAAGGCAACGAUGCAUAGCCGACCUGAGAGGGGAAUCGGCCACACUGGAACUGAGACACGGUCCAGACUCCUACGGGAGGCAGCAGUAGGAAAUCUUCCGCAAUGGGCGAAAGCCUGACGGAGCAACGCCGCGUGAGUGAUGAAGGUCUUCGGAUCGUAAAACUCUGUUAUUGGGGAAGAGCAUACGUGUAAGUAACUGUGCGAAUCUUAACGGUACCUAAGCAGAAAGCCACGGCUAACUACGU
rnacentral:rRNA from 1 species